rnacentral:rRNA from 1 species
CCAAUAGCGUAUAUUAAAGUUGUUGCAGUUAAAAAGCUCGUAGUUGAAUUUCGGGGUCAGUAGGUUGGUCGUGCCACUGGUAUGCACUGGCCUUACUGAUUCCUCCUUCUUGAAGAACUGUGAUGUCAUUUACUUGGUGUUGCAGGGAAACAGGACUGUUACUUUGAAAAAAUUAGAGUGUUUAAAGCAGGCUAACGCUUGAAUACAUUAGCAUGGAAUAAUGAAAUAGGACGUUUGAUCCUAUUUUGUUGGUUUCUAGGAUUGACGUAAUGAUUAAUAGGGAUAGUUGGGGGCAUUAGUAUUCAAUUGUCAGAGGUGAAAUUCUUGGAUUUAUUGAAGACUAACUACUGCGAAAGCAUUUGCCAAGGAUGUUUUCAUUAAUCAAGAACGAAAGUUAGGGGAUCGAAGACGAUCAGAUACCGUCGUAGUCUUAACCAUAAACUAUGCCGACUAGGGAUCGGAUGAUGUUAAUUUUUUAAUGACUCAUUCGGCGCCUUACG